GGAAAAAUAUUCAUGCUUCAAAGUUUAUUUUAGAUUUAAUUGAGAAUGGUUAUAAAAUACCUUUAAUUAACGAACCAGAAAGCGUUUUGUUAAGAAACAAUAAAUCUGCUUUAGAACAUAAAGAUUUUGUAGAAAAGGCAGUUCAGGAAUUAAUUGAUGCUAGCUUGAUAAAAGAAGUAUCGAACAGACCGCAUGUUGUUAAUCCGUUAACUGUAUCGAUUAAUUCAUCAGGUAAAGGUCGUUUAAUUUUAGAUUUGAGACACGUAAAUAAACAAGUUGUUUACAGUAAGAUUAAGUUUGAGGACUGGAAAACUGCCAGUCAGUUUUUGACAAGCGAUUGUUAUGGAUUUGCUUUUGAUUUAAAAGCAGGAUAUCAUCACAUAAACAUUUUCCCCAAUCAUCAGAAAUAUUUGGGGUUUUCUUGGAAGUUUGGUGAAACGGUAAAAUAUUUUGUUUUUACAGUUUUACCGUUUGGACUCUGUUCAGCGGGAUUUAUAUUACCACUGGGUAUUGCAUUUUGCUAUGGUGUGACUGUGUACACGCAUUGGACUGCCUUUUGUGGUCACUGGACCCUCAUCUUAUUGGUCGCUGGACUAUUGUUAUAGAUUGCAUUGUUUAACCAAGUCACUGGACUAGUAUGGAUAUAGUUUCAAGAUGUUUGAUAGCUGUCUUUUACCGGUAUUGUUGAUUGUGUGAUGUUUAUAAACCGGGAUUUGUUUUCAUAGAUGCAUGGUUGCCGUAUUCAAAACAUGAACUGUUAAUGGUGUUUGAUAUUAGAAAUAUUGUGAUCUCUGGAUCUAUAUUUAUUAAAAUUGAGAUGGUCAUUGCGCCUAACAGUACCUAAA